rnacentral:miRNA from 1 species
GCUGGUGAUAUCUUGCUGGGGACUCCAAAUGUUAUACCCAACAUGAGUGGAAUUAUAGAGAAAACACCAGCACACUGAGUUCAAAUUAGGUAC